rnacentral:rRNA from 1 species
ACAUACGACCAUAGGGUGUGGAAAACAGGGCUUCCCGUCCGCUCAGCCGUACUUAAGCCACACGCCGGUGAGUUAGUAGUUGGGUGGGUGACCACCAGCGAAUCCUCACUGUUGUAUGUCCGUGUUCACCCG